rnacentral:rRNA from 1 species
CCUACGGGAGGCUGCAGUGAGGAAUAUUGGUCAAUGGACGAGAGUCUGAACCAGCCAAGUAGCGUGAAGGAUGACUGCCCUAUGGGUUGUAAACUUCUUUUAUAUGGGAAUAAAACGUUCCACGUGUGGGAUUUUGUAUGUACCAUAUGAAUAAGGAUCGGCUAACUCCGUGCCAGCAGCCGCGGUAAUACGGAGGAUCCGAGCGUUAUCCGGAUUUAUUGGGUUUAAAGGGAGCGUAGGUGGAUUGUUAAGUCAGUUGUGAAAGUUUGCGGCUCAACCGUAAAAUCGCAGUUGAAACUGGCAGUCUUGAGUACAGUAGAGGUGGGCGGAAUUCGUGGUGUAGCGGUGAAAUGCUUAGAUAUCACGAAGAACUCCGAUUGCGAAGGCAGUUCACUGGACUGCAACUGACACUGAGGCUCGAAAGUGUGGGUAUCAAACAGGAUUAGAUACCCUGGUAGUC